UACGUAGGUGGCAAGCGUUGUCCGGAUUUAUUGGGUUUAAAGGGUGCGUAGGUGGCGCUGUAAGUCGGGUGUGAAAUUUCGGAGCUUAACUCCGAAACUGCAUUCGAUACUGCGGUGCUUGAGGACUGGAGAGGAGACUGGAAUUCCUGGUGUAGCGGUGAAAUGCGCAGAUAUCAGGAGGAACACCGGUGGCGAAGGCGGGUCUCUGGGCCGUAACUGACGCUGAGGAGCGAAAGCGUGGGGAGCGAACAGG
rnacentral:rRNA from 1 species